rnacentral:rRNA from 1 species
AUACGGAGGGUGCGAGCGUUGUUCGGAAUUACUGGGCGUAAAGCGCGUGUAGGCGGCUAGGCAAGUCGGAUGUGAAAGCCCGGGGCUCAACCCCGGAACUGCACCCGAAACUGCUCAGCUAGAGUCCCAGAGAGGAAGGCAGAAUUCCCAGUGUAGGGGUGAAAUCCGUAGAUAUUGGGAGGAAUACCAGUGGCGAAGGCGGCCUUCUGGACGGUGACUGACGCUCAGACGCGAAAGCGUGGGGAGCAAACAGGAUUAGAUACCCCGGUAGUCC